UAGGGAAUCUUCGGCAAUGGGGGGAACCCUGACCGAGCAACGCCGCGUGAGUGAAGAAGGUUUUCGGAUCGUAAAGCUCUUUUGUUAAGGAAGAACGAGUGUGAGAAUGGAAAGUUCAUGCUGUGACGGUACUUAACCAGAAAGGGACGGCUAACUACGUGCCAGCAGCCGCGGUAAUACGUAGGUCCCGAGCGUUGUCCGGAUUUAUUGGGCGUAAAGCGAGCGCAGGCGGUUAGGAAAGUCUGAAGUGAAAGGCAGUGGCUCAACCAUUGUAGGCUUUGGAAACUGUUUAACUUGAGUGCAGAAGGGGAGAGUGGAAUUCCAUGUGUAGCGGUGAAAUGCGUAGGUGUAUGGAGGAACACCGGUGGCGAAAGCGGCUCUCUGGUCUGUAACUGACGCUGAGGCUCGAAAGCGUGGGGAGCGAACAGG
rnacentral:rRNA from 1 species